CCAAUAGCGUAUAUUAAAGUUGUUGCAGUUAAAAAGCUCGUAGUUGAAUUUCGGGAUUGACGUGACGGUCAUGCCUUAAGGGGUAUGAACUGUUGCUGUUGAUUUCUCACCUUCUGGAGAAACUUGAUGUCCUUUAUUGGGUGUCUUGCGGAUCCAGGACCUUUACCUUGAAAAAAUUAGAGUGUUUAAAGCAGGCAUUUUUGCUCGAAUACAUUAGCAUGGAAUAAUAGAAUAGGACGGCAUGGUUCUAUUUUGUUGGUUUCUAGGAUAACCGUAAUGAUUAAUAGGGAUAGUUGGGGGAAUUAGUAUUCAAUUGUCAGAGGUGAAAUUCUUGGAUUUAUUGAAGACUAACUACUGCGAAAGCAUUUGCCAAGGAUGUUUUCAUUAAUCAAGAACGAAAGUUAGGGGAUCGAAGACGAUCAGAUACCGUCGUAGUCUUAACCAUAAACUAUGCCGACUAGGAAUCAGACGAUGUUAAUUUUUUAAUGACUCGUUUGGCACCUUACG
rnacentral:misc_RNA from 1 species